rnacentral:rRNA from 1 species
UACGGGGGGGGCAAGCGUUGUUCGGAAUUACUGGGCGUAAAGGGCUCGUAGGCGGCCAACUAAGUCGGACGUGAAAGCCCUCGGCUUAACCGAGGAACUGCGUCCGAUACUGGAUGGCUUGAGGUUGGGAGAGGGAUGCGGAAUUCCAGGUGUAGCGGUGAAAUGCGUAGAUAUCUGGAGGAACACCGGUGGCGAAGGCGGCAUCCUGGACCAAUUCUGACGCUGAGGAGCGAAAGCCAGGGGAGCAAACGGG